rnacentral:tRNA from 1 species
ACUUCUGUAGCUUAACGGUAAAGCAUUAUUCUAACUAAAUAAGAUUAUGGGUUCGAAUCCCGUCAGAAGUC